GUUACACUGUAGGAGGCUAGUAAAGUAAGUGUUUGACACAGUACCUAUUCGGUUAAUGGCCUGUUAGUCACUGAAGAUGUGAGUGGUGGGUGACAGACAUCCAGUUGAGCUCAUGCUUCAGUCACAGGUUGGAGGAUGAUUGCUCAUAAAGUCUUCUAAGUCACCUAUCUUAGAAGGUGGGACGUGCUCAGUGAAGCCUGCUGCAGUUAGAUUAGGAUAGCCUCUCUCCUCCACCUUCUGUAUGCUCAUGAGUCUAAGGCGGGGGCAA
rnacentral:lncRNA from 1 species